GCCAACCCACAAUGCAGCGCGUUGUUUUGAAAACGUGCCUCGAAGUUUGCUGGUUCGAGCUGAACAACGUGUUUCUUAAGUCGCAAAGGUAACGUGGACCUUGACAGCUGUUGGUUUUGUUUCUUUCACCACCAAAACCGAAAAAUGUGACUGUUAUUUUUAAGAUUAUUAAUUAUAGCAACUUUACAUCAAGUAGCAUCAUUCUUGGCAAUGAAGAAAAGCUCCGAACCCGUGAAAGACGAGACGCUGUCCGUCGUGGAUGAGAAACCUCAAACAGGGACAUCGGUCCAAUUACCCUGUGAUCGCUGUGAGCCAGCUGACGUUCUAGGUAAAGGAUCUUUACCGUAAAUCCCGGUUCCCAAGCUGACGGGGCUCUGAGGACCUCCAGGGCUCCUUGAGACUGUUCCAGGAAGUUCAAGUGUAGUUCAAACAUACUCAUUUGAAGAAGCCAUUACAGGAAGACAUUAUAAGGUGAUUCAUUCAUGAGGUCACAUCUAUCACAUGAGCUUCUGCUUGUCUGUUGCCAUUUGGAUGAAUAACUGUGGAGACCUCAACCAACAAGGUGCCGAAUUAGAUUUCCAGGACAAACUUUAAUACUUUUAUUUUCAUGGAGGCAGAUUUGUGAUACACCACAACUCCAGGUUGUGUUUGACCUUACAGUACAAUAUUUUUUUACCUUUUAAUUAUUAGACCGAGGUUAGAAGUGGUCUCGUCUACUUCUGUCCUGUUUUUUCCAGUUUGAAGUUUUAACACUGAAUCCUUUUUUUAGAAGUAGAAAAAAUAUCUUUCAUAUGUAAAUUUGAAAAGGGCAGGCGGCAAUUUGUUCGCUCAGAGACUCUAAACAAAAAUGGAAGGCGUGCUUUCACAUAUUGUCAUCAGAGUUAAUGUGCCCCAUUGUUGUUGUACCUUUUUCAGAUUGCUGCAAAGUGAAGAAUGACCUCUGAUUAAUGUGUUGGAAUAUUAAAAUAAAACCCCUUUGGGAGAUAACACUAAAACCAA